rnacentral:rRNA from 1 species
UUCGGUGGCUAUACCGAAGAGGUCACACCCGUUCCCAUCCCGAACACGGAAGUUAAGCUCUUCAGGGCCGAUGAUACUGUACCCGCGAGGGUGUGGGAAAGUAGGACGUUGCCGGAA